rnacentral:rRNA from 1 species
AUUGAACGCUGGCGGCAGGCCUAACACAUGCAAGUCGAACGGCAGCACAGAAGAGCUUGCUCUUUGGGUGGCGAGUGGCGGACGGGUGAGUAAUGUCUGGGAAACUGCCCGAUGGAGGGGGAUAACUACUGGAAACGGUAGCUAAUACCGCAUAACGUCGCAAGACCAAAGUGGGGGACCUUCGGGCCUCACACCAUCGGAUGUGCCCAGAUGGGAUUAGCUAGUAGGUGGGGUAAUGGCUCACCUAGGCGACGAUCCCUAGCUGGUCUGAGAGGAUGACCAGCCACACUGGAACUGAGACACGGUCCAGACUCCUACGGGAGGCAGCAGUGGGGAAUAUUGCACAAUGGGCGCAAGCCUGAUGCAGCCAUGCCGCGUGUAUGAAGAAGGCCUUCGGGUUGUAAAGUACUUUCAGCGGGGAGGAAGGCGGUGAGGUUAAUAACCUUGCCGAUUGACGUUACCCGCAGAAGAAGCACCGGCUAACUCCGUGCCAGCAGCCGCCGCGG